rnacentral:rRNA from 1 species
GACGAACGCUGGCGGCGUGCUUAACACAUGCAAGUCGAACGAUGAAGCCGGAGCUUGCUCCGGUGGAUUAGUGGCGAACGGGUGGGCAACACGUGAGCAAUCUGCCCUUGACUCUGGGAUAACUGCGGGAAACUGUAGCUAAUACCGGAUACGACACCUUGGGGCAUCCCAGGGUGUGGAAAGAAUUUCGGUCAAGGAUGAGCUCGCGGCCUAUCAGCUAGUUGGUGAGGUAAUGGCUCACCAAGGCGACGACGGGUAGCCGGCCUGAGAGGGCGACCGGCCACACUGGGACUGAGACACGGCCCAGACCCGUACGGGAGGCAGCAGUGGGGAAUAUUGCGCAAUGGGCGAAAGCCUGACGCAGCAACGCCGCGUGCGGGAUGACGGCCUUCGGGUUGUAAACCGCUUUCAGCAGGGAAGAAGCCGCAAGGUGACGGUACCUGCAGAAGAAGCACCAGCUAACUACGUGCCAGCCGCCGCGGUAA